UUAAUCUGCGAUACGUAACAUUAUAGUCAGCAAUUUAUCGAUCACGUAGUCUUUGGCUGUUAGUAAUUAACGGGAGCCUAAUUUUUAUCAUCAAUUCGUCUCGGGUUGGUAUCCUUGCUCUCAAGUUCAAACUCCCAAACCCCCAAGAGGUUCUCUUGUACAUGCAUAUGCUUGCAGGCAUCCCUAUGCUUUUCAUUGUCUUCUGUUACUGAUACAGGGAGUACAGCCACUUCUGGAUGGUGUACUUAAUUAUUUGUCAUGUCCAAUUGAAGUUAGUAGUUAUGCCCUUGACCAAACAAAGAAUGAGGAAAAGGUUGAGUUGACUGGAAGUCUUGAUGGGCCACUUGUAGCGUUGGCAUUUAAGUUGGAGGAAGGGCGGUUUGGCCAGUUGACAUAUUUAAGGUAGAAAAGAGAUCAAACAGUACAGAAACUGAAGGAAAUGGGUAAAAUCCAAUGUGGCUUUACCCGUCCCCAGGUCAUAUGUGUUCUUUACUGAGAAAGGAAAAAACAAUGUGUGACAAAUGGCAGGCUUUUGAGAGACCUGACCCUCUCCUAGUCUGAUUCUAAUCCCAACAAUCUGAAUGCCCUCCUCAGCAUUUUGUCACCUCCCAAUAUACUCCCCAACUCUCUUUUCUAACAAAAUCAUUUCACUACCCCUCCCCACCAGUCUUGCCACCCAGAGUUACCAGUCCCUCGGGCCCAUAUUGCGCUCCCCUCCUCCCCGUCCUAAGCAUUUUGUUUUCCCACAACCGAGAUUUACUCAUUUCAUUCUCACCAUUAACCAUUUUAUCACUUUCCCUGCGUGUGUUUGUCUGCAUAUAUUUUGGUUUGAAUGUGUUAACUUUGUAAAUUACACAAAAUUAUUGGAUUGUUUUCUCAAUUUUCCUUCCCCCCGGCUUUGGGUGUUGAAGAAUUUACGAGGGUGUGAUCCGCAAGGGCGAGUUUGUUAUUAAUCUAAACACCGGCAAGAAGAUCAAGGUAAAAUCUAAGGCUUUUUGUGAUUGUGUUAUUCAUGUGCAUAUGUGCAAUUGAAUCCUGGAAUUUUUUUUGGCUAAUGUUACAUUUAGAUAUUUAUGUUGAACGUAUUUGGAGAGAGUAUAAGGAAGCUGGUACAUUUCAGGAAGCUGGUACUUCUCAGGCCUAAGUUGUGGAAUCUGAGUUUAGGUUCAUGUUCUAUUUGUGUGUUUAUGGUUUCUUCACGAAGGAAAACUCUGAUGUUAUAUAAUUUCAAUACUCAUAAAAUAGUGCAGUGUGUAUUAGCACAAUGAUAGACAUAACUGAGUGUGUAUUAGCACAAUGAUAGACAUAACUGACAUCUGAUGAGCACUGUUUACAGAUAUUAUGGAAUUUGUUAGUGUUCUAGCUUCUAUCAUUAA